rnacentral:tRNA from 1 species
AAAGUUUUAGUAUAAUAAUUAGUAUAAACUAUUGUCAAUAGUUAGGUUUAUUAAACUUUA